rnacentral:rRNA from 1 species
GAGGACCGAACGAAUAAGCGUUGAAAAGCUUCUCGAUGACUUGAGGGUAGGGGUGAAAGGCUAAUCAAGCUGGGAAAUAGCUCGUACUCCCCGAAAUGCCUUUAGGGGCAGCGUUGUAAUAAAGAGUCUACUGGAGGUAGAGCUACUGAUUGGAUGCGGGGGCUUCACCGCCUACCAAAUCCUGACAAACUCCGAAUGCCAGUAGUAUGAUUUACAGCAGUGAGCGACCGGGUGCUAAUGUCCGGUCACAAAAGAGGAACAACUCAGACCAGCAACUAAGGUCCCCAAGAGUAUACUAAGUUGAUCUAACGAUGUUUUGUUGCAGAGACAGCUAGGAUGUUAGCUUGGAAGCAGCUAUUCAUUCAAAGAGUGCGUAACAGCUCACUAGUCGAGCGACAAAGCGUGGAUAAUAAACGGGCAUCAAGUAUACCACCGAAGUUCUGGGCACGAAAGUGCGGUAGGGGAGCAUUCCAUUCAGCGUCGAAGCCGAAUCGUGAGAUUUGGUGGAGCGUAUGGAAAAGCAAAUGUAGGCAUGAGUAACGAUAAUGCGGGAGAGUAACCCGCACACCGCAAGACCAAGGUUUCCUGAUCAACGCUAAUCGGAUCAGGGUUAGUCGGGUCCUAAGGGUAAGCCGAACGGUGAUCUCGAUGGAUAAUCGGUUAAUAUUCCGAUACUGACAUAUACCUCGAUGGAGAGACGAAGGAACGUAAGUGCCGCCGCCUGACGGAAUAGGUGGUUAAAGGGCGUAGGUAUAGGGACAGAUUAAGAGUUAGUCCUUGCUGAACCCCGACAGUACAGAGAGCCUACGGGCAAUUUGAUAGUGCACCCAAGUCGACUUCCGAGAAAAUCUUCUAAGUUAUAGUAUAUGUCACCCGUACCGUAAACCGACACAGGUGGUCGAGGAGAGUAUCCUAAGGUGCUCGAGUGAAUCACGGUUAAGGAACUAGGCAAAUUAACCCCGUAACUUCGGGAAAAGGGGUCCCACCGCGAGGUGGGCGCAGCGAAGAGGUCCAGGCGACUGUUUAUCAAAAACACAGGGCUCUGCAAAUUCGAAAGAAGACGUAUAGGGCCUGACACCUGCCCGGUGCUGGAAGGUUAAGAGGGGAUGUCAUCGCAAGAGAAGCAUUGAAUCGAAGCCCC